UACGUAGGGUGCGAGCGUUGUCCGGAUUUAUUGGGCGUAAAGAGCUCGUAGGCGGCCAACUAAGUCGGACGUGAAAUCCCCAGGCUCAACCUGGGAACUGCGUCCGAUACUGGAUGGCUUGAAUCCGGGAGAGGGAUGCAGAAUUCCAGGUGUAGCGGUGAAAUGCGUAGAUAUCUGGAGGAAUACCGGUGGCGAAGGCGGCAUCCUGGACCGGCAUUGACGCUGAGGAGCGAAAGCCAGGGGAGCAAACGGG
rnacentral:rRNA from 1 species